rnacentral:rRNA from 1 species
GACGAACGCUGGCGGCGUGCCUAACACAUGCAAGUCGAGCGGGAAUCUAUCAAUUGAAGCUUCGGCAGAUUUUGAUAGAGGAUAGCGGCGGACGGGUGAGUAACGCGUGAGUAACCUGCCCUUAAGAGGGGGAUAACACACCGAAAGGUGUGCUAAUACCGCAUAACAUAUGUUUACCGCAUGAUAGACAUAUCAAAGAUUUAUCGCUUAAGGAUGGACUCGCGUCUGAUUAGAUAGUUGGUGAGGUAACGGCUCACCAAGUCGACGAUCAGUAGCCGGACUGAGAGGUUGAACGGCCACAUUGGGACUGAGAUACGGCCCAGACUCCUACGGGAGGCAGCAGUCGGGAAUAUUGCGCAAUGGAGGAAACUCUGACGCAGUGACGCCGCGUAUGGGAAGAAGGUUUUAGGAAUUGGUAAACCAUUUUAGACAGGGAAGAAUAAUGACAGUACCUGUAGAAUAAGCUACCGGCU